rnacentral:rRNA from 1 species
GUAGGUGGCAAGCGUUGUCCGGAAUUAUUGGGCGUAAAGCGCGCGCAGGCGGUCCUUUAAGUCUGAUGUGAAAGCCCACGGCUCAACCGUGGAGGGUCAUUGGGAACUGGGGGACUUGAGUACAGAAGAGGAAAGCGGAAUUCCAAGUGUAGCGGUGAAAUGCGUAGAGAUUUGGAGGAACACCAGUGGCGAAGGCGGCUUUCUGGUCUGUAACUGACGCUGAGGCGCGAAAGCGUGGGGAGCAAACAGGAUUAGAUACCCUGGUAGUCCACGCCGUAAACGAUGAGUGCUAAGUGUUAGGGGGUUUCCCGCCCCCUUAGUGCUGCAGCUAACGCAUUAAGCACUCCGCCUGGGGAGUACGGCCGCAAGGCUG